rnacentral:rRNA from 1 species
UACGUAGGGUCCGAGCGUUGUCCGGAGUUACUGGGCGUAAAGGGCGCGCAGGCGGCGGUGCUGGCCCGGCGUGAAAGCCCCCGGCUCAACCGGGGAGGUCGUCGGGGACCGCACCGCUUGAGGCGGUAGGGGCCGGUGGAAUGCCUGGUGUAGUGGUGAAAUGCGUAGAGAUCAGGCAGAACACCUGGGGCGAAGGCGGCCGGCUGGGCCGACCCUGACGCUGAGGCGCGAAGGCGUGGGGAGCGAACGGG